rnacentral:misc_RNA from 1 species
CAAAUGGGAGCAUUGAUUGAAUCUUAUCAAAUAUGAUAAUAUUAAAUUCUUCAUAUUACUUUCUUGGAAAGUUGCUGAUAGAAAAUGAUUCUGAACAAUAAUAUUGAAUUCCCAUAACCAAAUACUCUCUUAAUGGAAAUUUGGGUUGGCUACAUGAAUAUUUUUUUCACCAUACUAAAAGUAACUAAUUUACCUAUAGCACUAUUUAAGCAGCCUAGCAUGAGAUUUGACAAUUAUCAAGAUUCAUUUGAAAGUUCUUCCAUCAAAAGGAAAUUUAUUGAUACAGCAAAAUAAUUGAACAGCUGAUUGCAAUACAGUGGGAAAAAUAUGGAAGAGAUUCCAUUCACUUGGAAAAAUUUUCUUCUAUGUAUUUCUUGCCAACACAUCCCUAAUUAGUUGUUUUGGUGCUGGCAAACCAGUGAAUCUUUCGAACUGUACAAAUGCUUGAUUGAUGAACAUCUCUGUCCCGUAAACAAUAGUGGCUCCACAUUCUUGUGCUUCUCUUAAGAGCCUGGUCAAUUUUGGUGUGUAGAUUGCAUCAAAGACCAAGGAGUAGUGUUUCAGAGCUUCCUUAGGAAGGGGGGUAUCUUCAAUUCUUGGUUUCAUUCCGACCGACGUGGUAUUUGCAAGGAUCAUUCCCUCUUCUGGAUGGAAAUCUUUCAGCUCAGCAAGAGUCAUUGCUUGUCCUCCUACUUUACUGGCAAGUUCUUUGGCUUUUUCAUAUGUGCGAUUAGCAACAACAACUCUUGCUCCUUUCUCAUACCCACCAUAAGCAAGGGCCUUUCCGGCUCCACCAGCACCCAUGACAACAAAGAGUUUACCAGCCAAGGGGGAAACAGAAGGAGGGGUACCAUUUGAUCCUGCAAGAAAAUUAUAGAGUCAAAGGGAAAAAAUUAAUUUUAAAAGAAAGUUUAAAUAGAAGUUGCCACUAAAAUGCACCGUAAACCUCGCAGUGCCUCUUCUAUAGCUCCUAUGGCUCCAAGAUAGUCAACAUUAUAUCCCAUUAGCUUCCCAUCAGUUGGUCUCCUGAUCAUGCAACUAAUAGCUCCUAUUGCCUGCGCAAUUGGAUCAACCUCAUCACAACACUUAAGUCCAUCUUCCUUGUGAGGAAUUGUAUAACUGUAUCCAACAAAGUCUGGAGAUGAAUAUGUAGAUAUGUAAUUUGCAACAUUGUCAACCAAAAGAGGCAGAUAAAUUCCAUUAAAACCAACUGACUUAAAUGCUGCAUUGUAGAGGUGAGGACUUUUGCUGUGACCAAUAGGAUUUCCAAUAACACCAUGUAUUUUGGUAUCAGAUCCUAUGAGUCUGAGAUUAUACAAAUCCAGCAAAUCUUUAAUGGUUGGUUGACCAGGAGCAGAUACUAUUCCUGCCUCGAUUGAACCAAAAGUGAGAAAUCCUCCAUAUUUUGCUGUGAGUAUCCUUGACAUCAAGCCUCUCUCACCCAUAACAAGUCCUAUCAUUGGGACUUGCGAAUGCACAAGCACAUGAAACAUCCGUGCAUUGUCUGUGAUGUCUAAAGCUGUUGUUGCAAUCUUCACUAUAUCAGCUCCUGUGGCUUGAAUUCUGGCAACAAGCUCUCCAAUCUCCUCAAUGGAUGGAGUACUUUCAUAAUUGUGAGAAGAAACAAUAAUCUUGACCUUUUCAGGUUUCUUCCCUUGAAUGGAACUGAAGAACCCUUGAGCUACCUUUAGCUCAACAUCAACAAAAUCUGAUCCCAAUUCGAUUGCCAGACGUAGUGCUUCUUGACGCUUGCUUUCUUCACCAUCAUACUCACCACCUUCCCAUUUCGGUCUGUAAGUGAUAAGAGUUGGUAAAGGACUUUGCUUGACUAAGACCUCAAGAUUCUGUCUAGGACUGAAAUUUUUUAAGAAAUCCACCCGAAUUUCAACAAGGUCAGCCCCAAGUUCCUGGGCCUUUUUCAUUUGAGUCAACAUUUGAUCAACUGAUUCUGCAAUUACUGGAGCACAGAUUAGUGUGGAAUUUCUUCGAGCUCCAUCCACAAUUUGAAGAUCUGUGGAAGCCAACGGGACACUGCCGAGAGUCAUUGUGGGAGUAAGUGCGAAGUGGUUUGCUGGUAUUGCUUGAAGCCAAAGAGUUAAGCAGAUGGCAGCAGAGUAGCGCGAUCAAAGAACGUAAGACAGGGUCUACAUUAGGUGGGCGGGUUAGGUGUGUAUAAAUAGAACUAGAGCUAAGUUUGAUGGCUUUUGACGCAGAGGAAUGUGAAUGUGAAUGUGUCUUACUUUCUUGUACGAGGUUUAAAAAAGAAGACCGUUAGCUGGUUUUUUAGCUGCAACUAUCUUUUCCAUAUUGGAAUUGCAGAGCAGAGCACAUCGAAAUUUUAUUUAUUUUUCCAAGAUCCGUAGGAUAUGAAAUCGUGAAUAAAAUUCGGAUAUCGAAAUGUGAUAAAACGAGUGUCGUUGAGUGGACCAAUUUACUGUAUUAUCGGCUCGUUCGCGUUAGGUAAGGAGAAACACCGCAUUUCUCUCAGCACUUGGGAGGGAGUUGUGGGCUUGCGGCUGCAUUGUCUGACCUGCGGUUGACAGAAAUUAA